AAUGGCCGCGGUACUUUGACCGUGCUAAGGUAGCGCAAUCAAUUGGCUCUUAAUUGGGGUCAGGAAUGAAUGGAGUCACGUGGUCCAGCUGUCUCUUUACUAAUUAAUUGAAGUUACUAUGUAGGUGAAAAAGCCUAUAAAAAGAAAAAGGACGAGAAGACCCUUAGAGUUUUACCUAAGAUAAAUAAAUAAAAAUCAAAUUAGAACGGUUUUGUUGGGGCAACAUAGGAGCAAAUUUAAUCUCCUAGAAGAAACACAUCGAAGAGCUAAAGUUGAAUAAACUACCUUAGGGAUAACAGCAUAAUUUUAUAAAUAAGUUUGUGACCUCGAUGUUGGACUAGGAAACCUAAAGGCUAGCCGUCUUUAGGGAAAGUUCUGUUCGAACUAUUAUUCCUACAUGAUCUU
rnacentral:rRNA from 1 species